rnacentral:rRNA from 1 species
UACGGAGGGAGCUAGCGUUGUCCGGAAUCAUUGGGCGUAAAGGGCGCGUAGGUGGCGGGACAAGCGUGCGGUGAAAGCUCGGGGCUCAACCCCGCGUCGGCCGUGCGAACUGUUUUGCUUGAGCACUGUAGAGGCAGGCGGAAUUCCGGGUGUAGCGGUGGAAUGCGUAGAGAUCCGGAAGAACACCGGUGGCGAAGGCGGCCUGCUGGGCAGUAGCUGACACUGAGGCGCGACAGCGUGGGGGAGCAAACAGG